AGCACCUUCGUAAAUACGAGUGCAAAGAGCCUGCAGGCCUGGCUUAGAAAGUAUUUCAUGGUCAGUGGAAAAAAAUGAGGAAGAGGAGGGUGUGGUUGCUGCUUAGAGGAUCUGGCCCUGCAAACGGGCUCUGGCUUGUGGAGAUGCGGUCCUUCGACGUGACCAGAUGAAGACUCCUUAUAGCCGCCCAUUGUUGCUGCCGGGGCGCUGGCAGCCGGGGGGCAGUUUGUGGCACGGGCGGAGGAGCGGGAGAAGCCGCCGCCGCCGCCGGUUGCUAGGAGACCCAGGAGCUGCAAGGUGAACGCCGACCACCGCCGCCGCUCCCCGCCCGCCGUGUGGUGUCCCCGCCGCCGUGUGGUGUCCCCGCCGCCGUGUGGUGUCCCCCCGCCGUGUGUCCCCCCCCGCCGCCGCCACGGCC